rnacentral:misc_RNA from 1 species
UCAUCUAUAGCCAAUCUAAUAGCCAAUUCAUACAAUAGUUGCUUACUAUACACUAUUAAUAUAUGGCCCCACCUGUCAUACGCACAUUGCAUCUUGGAGUCCGUGCUGCAGCUGGCUACAAAUCUGUAGCUCGCUGCUCUUCUCUCUCAUCUUUCAUCUCCAAUUCAUCUAGAGCAGGUACAAUAGCAGGCUAUUAACCAGCUAUAAACAUAUUUUAAUGAGAUAAAAGAUGAGAGAGGAGCAGCGGGCUACAGAUUUGUAGCCAGCUAUAGCACGGACUCCAAAAUGCAAUGUGUGUAU